UUUUAAAAAGCUUCAAACUGGGAUUAGAUACCCCACUAUGCUCAGCCGUAAACUUAGACAUCCAACUACAAUAGAUGUCCGCCAGGGUACUACGAGCAUUAGCUUAAAACCCAAAGGACCUGACGGUGUCUCAGAUCCCCCUAGAGGAGCCUGUUCUAGAACCGAUAACCCCCGUUCAACCUCACCACUUCUAGCCAACCCAGCCUAUAUACCGCCGUCGUCAGCUUACCCUGUGAAGGUAAUAAAAGUAAGCAAAAUGGGUACAACCCAAAACGUCAGGUCGAGGUGUAGCGCAUGGAGUGGGAAGAAAUGGGCUACAUUUUCUAACAUAGAAUAUUACGAACAUGCACCAUGAAAUAGUGCUUGAAGGAGGAUUUAGUAGUAAAAGGGAAAUAGAGUGUCCCUUUGAACCCGGCUCUGAGACGCGUACACACCGCCCGUCACCCUCCUGCAGUCAAA
rnacentral:rRNA from 1 species